rnacentral:rRNA from 1 species
GACGAACGCUGGCGGCGUGCCUAAUACAUGCAAGUCGAGCGGACGGAUGGGAGCUUGCUCCCUGAAUUCAGCGGCGGACGGGUGAGUAACACGUGGGCAACCUGCCCCUAAGAUCGGGAUAACUUCGGGAAACCGGAGCUAAUACCGGAUAUGAUCUUCCCUCACAUGAGGGAUGAUGGAAAGACGGUUUCGGCUGUCACUUAGGGAUGGGCCCGCGGCGCAUUAGCUAGUUGGUGAGGUAACGGCUCACCAAGGCGACGAUGCGUAGCCGACCUGAGAGGGUGAUCGGCCACACUGGGACUGAGACCCGGCCCAGACUCCUACGGGAGGCAGCAGUAGGGAAUCUUCCGCAAUGGACGAAAGUCUGACGGAGCAACGCCGCGUGAACGAAGAAGGCCUUCGGGUCGUAAAGUUCUGUUGUUAGGGAAGAACAAGUACCAGAGUAACUGCUGGUACCUUGACGGUACCUAACCAGAAAGCCACGGCUAACUACGUGCCAGCCGCCGCCGUAACAC